rnacentral:rRNA from 1 species
AAGCGGAGGAAAAGAAACUAACAAGGAUUCCCCUAGUAACGGCGAGCGAACCGGGAAGAGCUCAAAUUUGUAAUCUGGCGCCCCUCGGGCUCAGAGUUGUAAUCUACAGAGGCGUUUUCCGUGCCGGCCCGUGCCCAACUUUGCUUGGAACAGUGAGAUCAAAGAGGGUGAAAAUCCCGUACUUGACACGACCGCCGGUGCUAUGUGAUACGUCUUCUAAGAGUCGAGUUGUUUGGGAAUGCAGCUCAAAACGGGUGGUAAAUUCCAUCUAAGGUUAAAUAUUGGCGAGAGACCGAUAGCGAACAAGUACCGUGAGGGAAAGAUGAAAAGCACUUUGGAAAGAGAGUUAAACAGCACGUGAAAUUGUUGAAAGGGAAACGAUUGAAGUCAGUCGUGUCCGAGGGGUUCAGCCGGUCCUGCCGGUGCAUUCCUCUCGGACGGGUCAGCAUCGGUUUUGUCCGGCGGACAAGGGCAUGGGGAAAGUGGCACCUUUGGGUGUGUUAUAGCCCCGUGUCGCAUACGUCGGACGAGACCGAGGAACGCAGCUCGCCUCACGGCCGGGGUUCGCCCCCGUACGAGCUUAGGAUGUUGAGAUAAUGGCUUUAAACGACCCGUCUUGA